GAUUAUGUAAAACUUUGGUUUCCAUCCUUAUAACUAUGAUACAAGAUUGUUGUAAAAUCACCAAAUAAAUUGUAGAGUUUUACAAAAAAAAUAUGUUGCUCUACUUUCACAUCUCUAAUCCUUGUCCAAACUCUUAGACAUGCAUCAUACAAAUCACCUUGCUCAUUUUUAGCAACCCUCAAUACCUAUCUAUGAGUCAUCUAAUUAUCUCACUUAUAUAUUUAAUAUCAAAAAAAUACUUAUAGUGCUUAAAAUUACUAAUCUAGUGAAUUAAUUUUGAAAUUUUGAAAUUAAUAGCA
rnacentral:lncRNA from 1 species